AACAGUGUAUGUCAUCCGAAUCUCUCUUUUGUAUUAUUUGUGGCUGUGGGCUCAUGACAUUGUAAGGAUUGUUUCGUUUCAGCUUUUUCCUCUAGUAGUGGAAGACUUAUGAACCUUAGGAUUCAUUUCUAUAAUUUGCUUUUCCAUAGCAAAGUAUAUGUCUGCACCCUAAAUCUGUGAUUGUAAGUCAUGAGACUUCUUUCCAUGCUGUAUCCUCAGAAUUGUGAUGUCAUGUGUUACAAAGUGAGUUAAGACCCAAUCCUGUGCAAGUGUAGACAGAAAAAAAAAAUCAACAGGUCCCAGCAUUGGGAAUUGUGAGGCAUUUUUUCCUGUUUAAUCAUGCAAAGGAUUACACCCUUAAUGCCUAUUUUGUUUAAACCCCUUCCAUCUGGUUUGGACCAUGUGGAGAUGCUGUAAUGAGCAAAAAGGGAGAGUUAUCAGAAUAGUAAAAUUACAUGAGCUCAGACGUUGUCAGCAAUGAGAACAUCUAUCGAUUUAUUAAAUUAAAUUAAGGCACAAUCCAAAAAGCAUGUUUCGUUUUAAGUUUUCAUUCCCCUAGAAUUUUAAUUCACAACCAUUUGAAAAGAGUCUCUACACAAAAUGAAGAGGCAACAUGAGAAAUCAUGUUGUAAGGACACUUAUAUCUAAUAUUUUGAAUAUAAAUAUAUGUAAUCUCAGUCUUGAUUACUGAUGCGUUGUCAGUCUUCCUGGAGGUAGUGUUCUCCAGAUGUGUAGGACUUCAAGUCCCAUUGACACAUCUGGAGGACACCACCUUGAGAAAGGCGGUGCUAUGCCAUUCCGAAUUUCAGUUUGGGACCAUUCGUUUCUCACCUUGUCGCACCCUGUGUGGUGUAUGAUCACCUGACAAAGUGAGUUAUUUCCCGGGUUAACUCAUGCUAGGAUGCAGCAGUAUCAGUCCAUUCCUUUAGAUGCUUAUUCAGAUGUGACACGUACUGCAUAUACUGGCGCUUACUUCCAGGCAAAUGUGACUGCGUCUGCUCAGAAAGAAGCCCCACUGAAUGAGUGCCUGGACAACUGUGCGCUGAUCGCAGCCUUGGUUAGUUCUGAACAGAUGCAUUUAGGAUCGCCACAGUGCUAUUGUUCAAUUUAUAUCACACCUUUUUCCCUUUCGCAAGGAACCCAGGGCAACUUACACGAUCGUCUUCUGCUCAUUUUAUUUCAGAACAACCCUUUGAGGUAGCUUAGGCUGAAAGGCAGUGACUAACCCAAGUCAUCCCGCGAGCUUCGAGGCCAGGACGGGACUUGAACCCAGAUCUCUCCCCUUCCAGACCAACACUCUAAGCACUGUGCCAUGCUGGCUUUCAGUCCUGCAAUAUAGGGUAUAAUCGUAUGCAAUGUAACAUGGAGUCUAGUCUUAUACGUAUCUGCUCCGAAGUAAGUCCCAUUCUUUUCAGUGAGGCUUCCUUAGAGGUGGGGGGUACAGAAUCUCACCCACAGCCAUAAAGGACCACAAAGGCCGUUUUCCCAGUGUGCUGUUUGUAGCCAUGAUUGUGCCGAUCUCCCACGCACUUCCUUUCUUAUUCUUAUUCCCCGCACACAUGAAGCCUGGGCUUCUACACGCUACGUGUGUUUGGGCCAGGGCCAGGGCCAGGGCCAGGUCGGAGGAGGAGGAGGAGGAGGGGCAAAGGGGCAGUCGCUCCCCCAGCAGGCAGUUUCCACACGCACCAGCUGCGAAUACAUAAAAUAAAUGCGGGUUUCGUCUCCAGCAGCAUCUGCCCGGCUGCGCUCGGCGGGCUCAGCCGUUCGCUCCCAGCGGCCGGAAAGGAGGACGCGCAGGCGAGCGCGGAGAAGGGAAGGUCUCCCAACACGUCUGCUGCCUGCCCGCUUUUCCAGGCUGUCGAUGGCCAGCACAACCACAAUCAUCAUGGCUGUUUACGCAGAAGUAAGUCCUAUUUGUGUUAACUUCCCGACCAGUGCGCACUUGGACAGCAGCCAGCCGAAGUCUCCCAUGCUGCAUUUCUUUACUUGGAUGCAAUUCUCAGAAUGUAAAGCUGUAAUCUCAAAACACCUGUACUAGUGAAUGUGAAACCAGAAGUUAUAUCUGAAUAAAUAUUCUUAGGAUUGAGAUUCGA